rnacentral:rRNA from 1 species
AACGAACGCUGGCGGCAUGCCUAACACAUGCAAGUCGAACGAGACCUUCGGGUCUAGUGGCGCACGGGUGCGUAACGCGUGGGAACCUGCCCUUAGGUUCGGAAUAACUCCCCGAAAGGGGUGCUAAUACCGGAUAAUGUCUUCGGACCAAAGAUUUAUCGCCUUUGGAUGGGCCGGCGUUGGAUUAGCUAGUUGGUAGGGUAAAAGCCUACCAAGGCGACGAUCCAUAGCUGGUCUGAGAGGAUGAUCAGCCACACUGGGACUGAGACACGGCCCAGACUCCUACGGGAGGCAGCAGUGGGGAAUAGUGGACAAUGGGCGGAGGCCUGAUCCAGCAAUGCCGCGUGAGUGAUGAAGGCCUUAGGGUUGUAAAGCUCUUUUACCCGGGAUGAUAAUGACAGUACCGGGAGAAUAAGCUCCGGCUAACUCCGUG